UUGCCCUAGUAACGGCGAGUGAAGCGGCAACAGCUCAAAUUUGAAAUCUGGCGCAAGCCCGAGUUGUAAUUUGUAGAGGAUGCUUCGGGGCAGCGGCCGGUCUAAGUUCCUUGGAACAGGACGUCACAGAGGGUGAGAAUCCCGUACGCGACCGGCUGGCACCCCACAUGUAGCUCCUUCGACGAGUCGAGUUGUUUGGGAAUGCAGCUCUAAAUGGGAGGUAAAUUCCUUCUAAAGCUAAAUACCGGCCAGAGACCGAUAGCGCACAAGUAGAGUGAUCGAAAGAUGAAAAGCACUUUGGAAAGAGAGUUAAAAAGCACGUGAAAUUGUUGAAAGGGAAGCGCUUGCAACCAGACUUGACGGCGGCGUUCCUCCGGUCUUCUGACCGGUCCACUCGUCGCCGGCAGGCCAGCAUCGUCUGGGGCCGCCGGAGAAAGGCGCGGGGAAUGUGGCUCCUCCGGGAGUGUUAUAGCCCCACGUACAAUACGGCGCGCCCCGGGCGAGGUCCGCGCUUCGGCUAGGAUGCUGGCGUAAUGGUCGUAAGCGGCCCGUCUUGAAACACGGACCAAGGAGUGGACCAUCUGUGCGAGUGUUCGGGCGUCAAACCCCUACGCGUAAUGAAAGUGAACGGAGGCGGGAACCUAGGGUGCACCGUCGACCGAUCCUGAUGUCCUCGGAUGGAUUUGAGUAAGAGCAUGGCUGGUCCGACCCGAAAGAUGGUGAACUAUGCCUGAAUAGGGUGAAGCCAGAGGAAACUCUGGUGGAGGCUCGCAGCGGUUCUGACGUGCAAAUCGAUCGUCAAAUUUGGGUAUAGGGGCGAAAG
rnacentral:rRNA from 1 species